UGCUUAUAGAACUGUGAAUACUUCAGUUGAGAGAAGUAAUAGAGUAGGCUCAAGUGCUGCCCUCAGCUACAGGAGGAGCUGGUCACUCUCCCACUUCUGGUUUUGCGCUUAUUAGCGAACAAGCACUUAACCCAGCAGAAGGUCUAGUUUAUCAACAUGAUUAAAACCUUACCUUAUGCCACAGAUCCUGGCAGAGGUAGAACAGGAAAGCAGGCAAGAAUGACUCCUAAUUUCUGAGGUGAGACCAGCUGUAGACAAUUACAAGCAAAUAGGCUCAAGUGGGAGGUGGCAUGGCAGGAAGUGUGGUCAGAAAUAACAAAUGCAUCAGAGGGAAGUCCCAGUUUCAUGCUCAGGUACCAGCCAGGCACUGACGAGGGAAGUCCUCAGCACUUUCAGGAAUCUACCACAGUAUGGAAAAAGGGGAACAUGAGUGAACACAGUCUCUGAGCAAACAAGGCA
rnacentral:lncRNA from 1 species